UACGUAGGGUCCGAGCGUUGUCCGGAAUUAUUGGGCGUAAAGGGCUCGUAGGCGGUUUGUCGCGUCGGGAGUGAAAACCUACAGCUUAACUGUGGGCUUGCUUUCGAUACGGGCAGACUUGAGGCAUGCAGGGGAGAACGGAAUUCCUGGUGUAGCGGUGAAAUGCGCAGAUAUCAGGAGGAACACCGGUGGCGAAGGCGGAUCUCUGGGCCUUGCCUGACGCUGAGGCGCGAAAGCUAGGGGAGCGAACAGG
rnacentral:rRNA from 1 species